rnacentral:rRNA from 1 species
GAACGGGUGAGUAACGCGUGAGGAACCUGCCUCAAAGAGGGGGACAACAGUUGGAAACGACUGCUAAUACCGCAUAAGCCCACGGGUCGGCAUCGACCAGAGGGAAAAGGAGCAAUCCGCUUUGAGAUGGCCUCGCGUCCGAUUAGCUAGUUGGUGAGGUAACGGCCCACCAAGGCAACGAUCGGUAGCCGGACUGAGAGGUUGAACGGCCACAUUGGGACUGAGACACGGCCCAGACUCCUACGGGAGGCAGCAGCGGGGAAUAUUGCACAAUGGGGGAAACCCUGAUGCAGCGACGCCGCGUGGAGGAAGAAGGUCUUCGGAUUGUAAACUCCUGUUGUUGAGGAAGAUAAUGACGGUACUCAACAAGGAAGUGACGGCUAACUACGUGCCAGCAGCCGCGGUAAAACGUAGGUCACAAGCGUUGUCCGGAAUUACUGGGUGUAAAGGGAGCGCAGGCGGGAAGACAAGUUGGAAGUGAAAUCUAUGGGCUCAACCCAUAAACUGCUUUCAAAACUGUUUUUCUUGAGUAGUGCAGAGGUAGGCGGAAUUCCCGGUGUAGCGGUGGAAUGCGUAGAUAUCGGGAGGAACACCAGUGGCGAAGGCGGCCUACUGGGCACCAACUGACGCUGAGGCUCGAAAGUGUGGGUAGCAAACAGGAUUAGAUACCCUGGUAGUCCACACCGUAAACGAUGAUUACUAGGUGU